rnacentral:tRNA from 1 species
CUUAAGGACCAUCAGGCCCGCAAUCUGAUUUGCACUCAAAUAUUUCUUAAACCCUU